rnacentral:rRNA from 1 species
GACGAACGCUGGCGGCGUGCUUAACACAUGCAAGUCGCACGGAAAGGCCCUGCUUUUGUGGGGUGCUCGAGUGGCGAACGGGUGAGUAACACGUGAGUAACCUGCCCUUGACUUUGGGAUAACUUCAGGAAACUGGGGCUAAUACCGGAUAGGAGCUCCUGCUGCAUGGUGGGGGUUGGAAAGUUUCGGCGGUUGGGGAUGGACUCGCGGCUUAUCAGCUUGUUGGUGGGGUAGUGGCUUACCAAGGCUUUGACGGGUAGCCGGCCUGAGAGGGUGACCGGCAACAUUGGGACUGAGGUACGGCCCAGACUCCUACGGGAGGCAGCAGUGGGGAAUAUUGCACAAUGGGCGGAAGCCUGAUGCAGCAACGCCGCGUGCGGGAUGACGGCCUUCGGGUUGUAAACCGCUUUCGCCUGUGACGAAGCGUGAGUGACGGUAAUGGGUAAAGAAGCACCGGCUAACUACGUG